rnacentral:rRNA from 2 species
UGGGGAAUAUUGGACAAUGGGGGCAACCCUGAUCCAGCGAUGCCGCGUGAGUGAUGAAGGCCUUCGGGUUGUAAAGCUCUUUUGCACGCGACGAUGAUGACGGUAGCGUGAGAAUAAGCCCCGGCUAACUCUGUGCCAGCAGCCGCGGUAAUACAGAGGGGGCUAGCGUUGUUCGGAAUGACUGGGCGUAAAGGGCGCGUAGGUGGUAUGACAAGUCAGGUGUGAAAGACCCAGGCUUAACCUGGGAACGGCAUUUGAGACUGUCAUGCUUGAGUCUGGGAGAGGAUAGCGGAAUUCCUAGUGUAGAGGUGAAAUUCGUAGAUAUUAGGAAGAACACCGGUGGCGAAGGCGGCUAUCUGGAACAGAACUGACACUGAGGCGCGAAAGCGUGGGGAGCAAACAGG